CAUAUCUGUCAUAUCGUCUUUUUUGAUUCGGUCUGUACAUGUAAUGUUAAUAUCGAGUAAUUUUCACGGAAUAAGUAAAUAACAUUCUAGAAAGGAUAUUAAUAAGAAGUAUAUUAAUAACAUUCUAGAAAGGAUAAGUAAAAUAUUCACCUGGCCUGUUUCUCGCAUUUGUCUCUCAUAUCCACCUCUUCCUCUGUCUCAGGCUGGAACGGUUUGCUUUCCAACAUGCUAGUUACGAGGAUGAUAUUUUCACGAUUGAUGAGCAUAUUGUACAUCUUGUGGCACGAGAUAAAAAUUGCCAAUGUAAGGAAAAUGGAAAAGUGGAAAAUUUGUUGGAGAAACGUCAAUUUUUAUUUUCUCUCCAUCAAUUAUAUUAUUCUCAAUAGUUUAACAUUGGAAAGAAUAAUCUUGAGUUGGAAUAAAUAUUUAACGAAUAUCAAGUAAUAUCAAGGAAAUUGGUCUUCUGUGCAUCUCGUCUGUUUCGAACAAAGAGUUGGAGAGAAAUUUUCUUUCGCAAGAACAUAAAAGAAGAUUCAUAGAAUAGAAAAAUCAUCAUCAAAGUGGGAGAAGUACAUUAAGGCAAACUUAAGCAAAAUAAGAAAGUAUUUCACGAAUAAUUUUUUUAAAACUAUUGAAAAUUUUUGUAUAUAAACUAAAAAUGUAAAUAAAUAUAAAUGUAAAUGUAUAUGUAAUAAAAUGUAUAUAAAAAAAAUGUAAAAAAUAUAAAAUAUAAAUAAAGACACCAAUUUUUGUGAACAAA